CGCUGGGUCGCGGGGGUGGCAGGGGACGCUCCGAUUGGUCCAGCUCGAUUUCGUGGCUUCGAGAAGUCGCGCGUACCUACGGACCCGCCAAUCGGGGCGGCCUCUGGCCCGUCAGUCGGUGGCCGCACGUUGCCGACGUAACGUCGUGACAAUUUCGUAUCGCGCUCGCAUCCUCCCUUUCGGCGAAUGUUCGAACGUCUUCUUUUCAGUGUGCAGACUUGAACCGACCGCAGUCCGAAGGAAACGCACAAUAUCGUUUUCAGGCUUUCCACGAUUCGUUCGUUGCAGGUUUCCUUCUUUACCCCGACGAAAGACACGAGUGUAAUAUUUCGUUAACCAUGCGUCUGGAACGGUGUGACAGUGCAAAGUACGCGUAAAAAGUCACGCGCCUAGUGUCUGCUUCUCGAGCUGAACGGCGACACGCACGAAACGUGUUAUCGAAGAAGGCAUUCGAGAAACGUCGUUCGUAGAUACGCGUCGAGUAGAUGUUUCGAUUGUAAUCGUUGCCGUCCUCGUCGACUUGUACGGUUGCUGGGCUUCCGUGAAUCAAAGUGAAACGCGGCUUCCCGCGAUUUAUCGGUACACGCCGGAAGGUGUGGCGCGAAAAGCACGGUGCAACGAGUGACGAGGAAGUAGGACGAGCGAUUCCCUUGUCACACCGACCACCACCGAUCUGCCCUAUUUCCGUGAUGCUCAAGGUUAAGGAAACCCCUUGCUCGAGCCCGUCCACGUUAUCAUGAAGUUGAACGGGAGAGAGGAAACAGGAAACUUGGGACGACGAGCGUCUUUCGCUAGAUCGGGUGGAAGAUAAAUAACAUCAGCGAAAAUGUUGAUAAAAGAGUAUCGGAUACCGCUGCCUCUCACCGUGGAGGAAUACAGGAUUGCUCAGCUUUAUAUGAUCGCGAAAAAAUCUCGCGUAGAGAGCCAAGGAGCGGGCAGCGGUGUAGAGAUCAUAGUGAACGAACCUUACAGCAACGGACCAGGUGGAAAUGGACAGUACACGCAUAAGAUUUAUCACGUGGGACGUCAUCUCCCGGAAUGGUUCAAGAGUUUGUUACCUAGGUCCGCCUUGAUCGCCAAGGAGGAAGCAUGGAACUCUUAUCCCUAUACGAAGACACGUUACACGUCACCCUUCGUAGAAAAGUUCUCCAUCGAAAUAGAGACGUACUAUUUUCCCGACAACGGUUAUCAGGAGAACGUGUUCAAGCUCAGCGGCAGCGAUCUGAGAAACAGGAUCGUCGACGUAAUCGACAUCGUCAAGGAUCAACACAUGGGCGACUACGUGAAGGACGAGGAUCCUAAGUUGUACGUGUCCCAGAAAAGUGGCAGAGGACCGCUCACCGAAUCAUGGCUCGAAGAUUACUGGGCAGACGUAAAAGGCAAGCAACAACCAACGCCGGCCGGGAAGUCGUUGAUGUGCGCCUACAAGCUCUGCCGCGUGGAAUUCCGUUACUGGGGCCUGCAAACAAAAUUAGAAAAAUUUAUACACGACACGGCUCUGCGGAAAACCAUGCUGCGUGCUCACACGCAAGCCUGGGCCUGGCAGGACGAAUGGAUCGGUUUGACGAUGGAGGACAUCCGAGAAAUCGAGCGACAAACUCAACUGGCGCUGCAACGAAGGAUGGGCGCUGCCGAGGGUAGCGAGGAAGCCACCGAAGAAAAUCAGGAGAUGUCCGCUUCGAAUGCGACUCCUCAGGACUCGGACGUUGCCAUGACCUUAGCCGCGACCCUCGGGAGCAUCGAGAAGAACGAGGACCUUCAGAGUCCGCCGAGCGUCAGGAAGUCAUCCGACAUACCCAACGCGAACACGACAGGUAGCUCUGAAGGCGAUAUCAGCCCUGAAGAUUCGCCGACCGAAGUACCUGAACUUAGAAAUGCUCCCGUUGAGGAGAAAGGUGAAACUAAGAAAGGGUGGAAGAAUAAAACGACGGUGCAUUCGCCCAGUUCGAACAAGAGCUUCGACAUGCAGAUAGCGAAUUGGCGCAUGGAGAGCAUCGUCAGGGAAUCCGAAUCGGGUAGCGAGGACGAAUUCUUCGAUUGUCAAGAGGGCUUUGGAGAUAACUCGUCAUUAGCUAAAUGGAGUUCUUUGGAUCUUCUAGCAGAAGAGGAGGACAAUACGUUCACUUCGCCCACCACGGCAGGCAAAGAAGACGACACUAUAUUUUCACCUUCCUACCUACAACGGAUGGCUUGUGAACGUAGCAGUAAAAGGUUGCAGAUCUCUACAUCGGCCAGCAUCGAUGUCUCGUGUCCAGCUUCGCCUCAACAUUCGCCGACCCAUCAGCCUUGCAAAACCACUGUACUGCUUAUCGUGAUGCAUGCUGGAAGUGUGUUAGACGCAAACGUUGACUUAACCGCAAAAAAGUCGGACAUCACAACAUUCAAAGGGGCCUUUGAGUCAGUCAUGAGACAGCACUAUCCCAGCAUGGUAGGACAUGUCGCUAUCAAGUUUGUUUCCUGUCCCUCUAUCUGUACCGAAGGUCUGGGUAUCUUGUCGAGUCUAAGUCCAUAUAGUUUCGACGUGUCACCUUCCUCCAUGGACGCCCCUCAAGUGACACACGACACCAUCCCAAUUGGUGCAAUACCAUUGUUUGCUAGUUCCACUCCUGAGUAUCAGGAUGCAGUCUCGCGAGUUAUAAACGGAGCCAAUCAAGUUUACCACGAGUUCAUUAAAAGCGAAGAGGGUCGCGGUUUCACGGGGCAGAUUUGCUUUGUUGGGGACUCAGUAGGAGCAAUUUUAACGUAUGACGCUUUAUGUAGAUCAUCCCACUCCAGGCAUAAUAGCGAAAACAAUAUUUUGAACAAUCAAGGCAUCGAGAACAAUGAAGAUGGGAAACACUUAGUCGCGCCUUCCCCCAGAAGAAAGUCUUCAAGUACAAGCGAUGGUCAACAGAGUUGUAAAUUGGACUUUGAAGUGGGAGAGUUUUUCAUGUUCGGCAGUCCACUUGCGUUAGUUCUAGCGUAUAGAAAAAUUUCUUUGGGCGGUGAUAAAAAUAGUAAUAUAAAAAGACCAUUUGUGAAUCAAGUGUAUAACCUAUUCCAUCCUACUGAUCCUGUAGCUGCUAGGUUAGAGCCAUUAAUCUCUGCCAGAUUUUCUCUCCUUCCGCCCGUUAACGUGGCUCGAUACCAGAAGUAUCCGCUUGGGAACGGUCAGCCAUACCAUUUGUUGGAAGCAAUUCAGACGAAUCCACAAUUAUUUACCGAUGGUCUAAACAUUCCAAACGUAUCAAUGUCUCAAUUAAGGCGUCUGUCCGAUAUAUCAAUUCACAGUACGAUGUCCGGUAUGGUUGAACAUGUUCCUUUACAAAUAGUAUCUAAUUUAACGCAAAAAUGGUGGGGCACAAAAAGAUUGGACUACGCGCUCUACUGUCCGGAGGGUUUAGCAAAUUUUCCCACGAACGCUUUGCCACAUCUUUUUCAUGCUAGUUACUGGGAAUCUUCCGAUGUAAUCGCAUUCAUUGUACGACAGUUAGGCAGAUUUGAUUCACCUAUACUUAACAACGAGGAGAAAGAAUUAACUUGUUUCCGUCCAGGUCAACCUAGAGAAAAAUGGAAUAAGAAACGUACUUCUGUUAAACUAAAGAAUGUUGCUGCCAAUCAUAGAGCGAACGACGUAAUUGUCCGGGAAGGAGCACCGCAAGUGUUGGUUGCUAGAUUUAUGUAUAGUCCAAUCGAUGUUAUAGCUUUAACAGGUGAGAAGGUGGACAUUCACAUUAUGAAGGAUGCACCCGCGGGAGAAUGGACGUACUUAUCAACCGAAGUGACUGAUAAGAAUGGUAGAAUAACAUAUAAAAUACCCGAUGACAAGGCAUUAAGCUAUGGACUUUAUCCAGUUAAAAUGAUUGUUAGGGGCGAUCAUACAUCCGUAGACUUUUUCUUGACUGUGAUUCCACCGAAAACAGAGUGUGUGGUAUUUAGUAUAGAUGGUUCAUUUACGGCAAGCAUGUCCGUUAGUGGGAAGGAUCCUAAAGUUAGAGCAGGGGCUGUUGACGUUGUCAGGCAUUGGCAAGAACUGGGUUACUUAAUUAUUUAUAUUACUGCGAGGCCUGAUAUGCAACAGCAGAAAGUUGUUUCCUGGUUGUCUCAACAUAACUUUCCUCAUGGUCUUGUAUCCUUUGCGGAUGGUCUUUCGACGGAUCCGCUUGGUCAUAAAGCUGCGUACUUAAACAAACUCGUUCAGGAGCAUGGUGUAAUAAUCCAUCACGCGUAUGGCAGUAGCAAAGACAUUAGCGUCUACACAGCAAUUAAUCUUAGGCCAAAUCAAAUUUUCAUCAUCGGAAAAGUACCAAAGAAGCACCACGCUCUGGCGACGAUACUUCAUGACGGUUACGCUGCUCAUUUAACCAUGCUACAGGCGCAUGGAGGUUCGAGACCUGCUCAGGGUAAUGCACGCAUGGUGAUCCCGAGAGGUCAGUUUGGUUUACCCGGACUAAAUGCUUCUCUACGACGGAGAAGGUAAUAAUUCAUUCGAUCCUUGCUAUCCUCGACGUUCAGAUGUUUCGGUCGCUGCAGAACGCUGGAGGUGUCAUGCGUGUGCAAUAAAUGUUGUCCCCUAGAAAGAAGACACUCAGAGCGGGCGUAAGGCAUUUCGGAGAUUAAUCAAAAACUCUAUUGUCUGUACAUAGAUAACGCUGUAUUUUUAUAGCCGGACAUACUGUGGUAUCAGUAUGAAAAAUUUCAGUGAAAAAGUAGUUGUUUCAGAGGUAAUCGAUGUUGGUGUGAUCUUUGCAUUCGAAGCGCGCCCGAAUCGAUGUUAACUAAAACCCGUGUGUGUCGAGAGAUUUCUCUAUAAAACAAUCGUAGACUACGAGAACAAGGUACCUGUUAUGAAGAUAUGUCUAGUCACACAGCGUAGCCGAUAUCGCGCUCUCGGCAAGAGCCGCAGCCAUCCUACGCACAAACUUAAUGUUUUAUCUAUCAGCCAUGCAUAUGUCCAGAAUUUGUGGUUAAUCAACAUAUGAGUGUCUAGAUGUACAGAGACUAAACAGUUUUUUCGUUACCUCCUGAAAUGGUCUGAUCUUUAGUGACCAAGUUAACGAGGAGGGAUCUAACGAAGAGAACCUAUGAUAUCAACGGGAAAGGGAUAGUUGUCUUUCUCUGUCUGUAAUAUAUUCGAAGAAAGUUAAACUGAAAGUGUUAAUUCUUUAUUCGCUGAAGAUGAGAAGAAGAUCGCUUCCACAAUGGAAGCUCUUUCAGGCUGGCCAAGAGGGCAAUAUCGCAACCCAUCCCGAGCAAGAUGUUGUUGCCAUUGGAGCGAUCGACGAGCGUUGGCCCCUCAAUUUCGCCGCAGACUGGGCCAGCCAUCAAAACCACGGCACCGGAGAAAC